CUUAUUCACACAUAGGGAUCUAUUCACCAAAGAGCAAGUUGUAGUGAACUGACAGUUUUUUUUCAACAUUAUUUUCUCUUGGAAUAUGUGUGUCUACAUUAACUCGCCGCAGCUCGCUGUUUAGUAAAUACGUCUCUUAUUUAUUUUAGAGGAGCCACAAUAUGAACAGGAGUUUGGGAGCAAACCUUAUUACAACAGAUCCUGUUGGUAUUAAAUAUAAAAUAAUCUAAAAAAAAAAUAAAAAAAUAAACGCUGUUCCUGCAAAGCGGAAUUACUGCCCUAGGGAUUUGUAAAUGUUUCCUUGUUAUUUAUUUAGAUACUGAUACAGAUAAUGUGUAUAAUGUGAGUAUGUGUGUGAAUACAUAUAAAUAUAUAUUACACAUUACAAGUCAUAUGAUUU